AUUGAACGCUGGCGGCAGGCCUAACACAUGCAAGUCGAGCGGAUGAUGGGAGCUUGCUCCUUGAUUCAGCGGCGGACGGGUGAGUAAUGCCUAGGAAUCUGCCUGGUAGUGGGGGACAACGUUUCGAAAGGAACGCUAAUACCGCAUACGUCCUACGAGAGAAAGCAGGGGACCUUCGGGCCUUGCGCUAUCAGAUGAGCCUAGGUCGGAGUAGCUUGUUGGUGAGGUAAUGGCUCACCAAGGCGACGAUCCGUAACUGGUCUGAGAGGAUGAUCAGUCACACUGGAACUGAGACACGGUCCAGACUCCUACGGGAGGCAGCAGUGGGGAAUAUUGGACAAUGGGCGAAAGCCUGAUCCAGCCAUGCCGCGUGUGUGAAGAAGGUCUUCGGAUUGUAAGGCACUUUAAGUUGGAGGAAGGGUUGUAGAUUAAUACUCUGCAAUUUUGACGUUACCGACAGAAUAAGCACCGGCUAACUCUGUGCCAGCAGCCGCCGUAACAC
rnacentral:rRNA from 1 species